rnacentral:SRP_RNA from 1 species
GGUCUCACGCAAUGGGAGCCAGCGAACCGUGUCAGGUUGGGAACAAAGCAGCACUAAGCAGGACCUUUCAUGUGCCGUGAGU